UGGGGAAUAUUGGACAAUGGGGGCAACCCUGAUCCAGCGAUGCCGCGUGGGUGAAGAAGGCCUUCGGGUUGUAAAGCCCUUUAGGUUGGGAAGAAGUGUGGCGGAGGAAUAUACCGUUGCAUUGACUGUACCGACAGAAUAAGCACCGGCAAACUCUGUGCCAGCAGCCGCGGUAAUACAGAGGGUGCGAGCGUUAAUCGGAUUUACUGGGCGUAAAGGGCGCGUAGGCGGUUAUAUGUGUGGGAUGUGAAAGCCCCGGGCUCAACCUGGGAAGUGCAUACCAAACUAUAUAACUGGAGUAUGUGAGAGGUGGCGGAAUUUCCGGUGUAGCGGUGAAAUGCGUAGAGAUCGGAAGGAACGUCAAUGGCGAAGGCAGCCACCUGGCACAAUACUGACGCUGAGGCGCGAAAGCGUGGGGAGCAAACAGGAUUAGAUACCCGCGUAGUCCCUGAGCGGGCUGGCAAGGCGCAU
rnacentral:rRNA from 1 species